rnacentral:rRNA from 1 species
UACGAAGGGGGCUAGCGUUGCUCGGAAUUACUGGGCGUAAAGCGCACGUAGGCGGCUUUCUAAGUCGGGGGUGAAAUCCUGGAGCUCAACUCCAGAACUGCCUUCGAUACUGGAAAGCUCCGAGUCCGGGAGAGGUGAGUGGAACUGCGAGUGUAGAGGUGAAAUUCGUAGAUAUUCGCAAGAACACCAGUGGCGAAGGCGGCUCACUGGCCCGGUACUGACGCUGAGGUGCGAAAGCGUGGGGAGCAAACAGG